rnacentral:rRNA from 1 species
GAAGCAACAAAUGCCCUGCUUCCAGGAAAAGCCUCUAAGCAUCAGGUAACAUCAAAUCGUACCCCAAACCGACACAGGUGGUCAGGUAGAGAAUACCAAGGCGCUUGAGAGAACUCGGGUGAAGGAACUAGGCAAAAUGGUGCCGUAACUUCGGGAGAAGGCACGCUGAUAUGUAGGUGAAGCGACUUGCUCGUGGAGCUGAAAUCAGUCGAAGAUACCAGCUGGCUGCAACUGUUUAUUAAAAACACAGCACUGUGCAAACACGAAAGUGGACGUAUACGGUGUGACGCCUGCCCGGUGCCGGAAGGUUAAUUGAUGGGGUUAGCGGUAACGCGAAGCUCUUGAUCGAAGCCCCGGUAAACGGCGGCCGUAACUAUAACGGUCCUAAGGUAGCGAAAUUCCUUGUCGGGUAAGUUCCGACCUGCACGAAUGGCGUAAUGAUGGCCAGGCUGUCUCCACCCGAGACUCAGUGAAAUUGAACUCGCUGUGAAGAUGCAGUGUACCCGCGGCAAGACGGAAAGACCCCGUGAACCUUUACUAUAGCUUGACACUGAACAUUGAGCCUUGAUGUGUAGGAUAGGUGGGAGGCUUUGAAGUGUGGACGCCAGUCUGCAUGGAGCCGACCUUGAAAUACCACCCUUUAAUGUUUGAUGUUCUAACGUUGGCCCGUUAUCCGGGUUGCGGACAGUGUCUGGUGGGUAGUUUGACUGGGGCGGUCUCCUCCUAAAGAGUAACGGAGGAGCACGAAGGUUGGCUAAUCCUGGUCGGACAUCAGGAGGUUAGUGCAAUGGCAUAAGCCAGCUUGACUGCGAGCGUGACGGCGCGAGCAGGUGCGAAAGCAGGUCAUAGUGAUCCGGUGGUUCUGAAUGGAAGGGCCAUCGCUCAACGGAUAAAAGGUACUCCGGGGAUAACAGGCUGAUACCGCCCAAGAGUUCAUAUCGACGGCGGUGUUUGGCACCUCGAUGUCGGCUCAUCACAUCCUGGGGCUGAAGUAGGUCCCAAGGGUAUGGCUGUUCGCCAUUUAAAGUGGUACGCGAGCUGGGUUUAGAACGUCGUGAGACAGUUCGGUCCCUAUCUGCCGUGGGCGCUGGAGAACUGAGGGGGGCUGCUCCUAGUACGAGAGGACCGGAGUGGACGCAUCACUGGUGUUCGGGUUGUCAUGCCAAUGGCACUGCCCGGUAGCUAAAUGCGGAAGAGAUAAGUGCUGAAAGCAUCUAAGCACGAAACUUGCCCCG